GCAGCAGGUGGAGCCUGGACCAGCGAGGAGGCUCUCGUGUCAGUCGAGGCUGGAUGUGAGGGUUCCCUGCACCGCUGUGGGAACAUUGAGGUGAAGAAGCUUCCCGUCAGAGACCUGGUGGUCGCUUAGAUGCGGGUGGGGGGAAGGUGCCGAGAGAGGGUGGUGGGUGACAUAAUGGAGACCUUGGGCCCGGGCCACUGGGUGGGGGCUUGGUGACACGUGGAAACAUGAGUCACUCGAAGAGGCGUGAUCCCAGUCCGUGUCCUGACAGGUCCAAGGUAGAAAGACGGACCCUAUGGAAAGACAGGCUGGGGUAGGGCCUGUCUGUCCCCUGGGGGAUGAAAUCAGAGCAAAGUCAGCCCUCAAUUCCCUUGACAUCCUGUCUGCAGUUCUGACCACCGACGUCCCCGCCCCCCACCUCCCACAUGACCCCCGGCUGUCACACCCCUAAGUCCUCCAGCACAGAUCAGAUGACCUCGCAGAGCAGUCGGCCAGCCAGGCACAGAACUGAGCGCGUGUCACGCGUUACCUCAUCUCAGCGAGACUUGGCAAGGUUUCCAGGGUGACUUACGCCGUCGUUGUGCAAACCACGGGGUUACCUUUCGGCCUUGAUUUCCAGCUGUGUCUUUCUGUGACCGCACAAGCUCAGUCAGAGGCGGCCAUCACGCCCCGCCCUUCUGGUCACCGGGGUCAGUACCGACGGUCAAGUGCAGUGGCCCCCCGUCACAGGUGAUAAUUUAGGUGGUUACGAAGCCACUGCGUGCCAUUGACCACCGGUGUCUCAUUGGCCUGGCAAUGAAGUCAUCACCUGUGUCCAAGCCUCAUCAGUCCGAGGGCCCAGCCCCGAGUCCCAACUCUGAGGGUGUAUUUCUCAGAAACACCCCCAGUGCUCACUGGUACACCAUUCAAGGUCCCUUCAGGAAACCGGAAUCUCCAACCAGCCCACACAGAGAGGACGGUCCGCAGAGACACGGGUCGUGAAGGGUUGUCGGGGCCGACGGAGCAGGAAGGGAAGGGAAGGGCCCCCAGGGCUUAGGGACUCGGCACGCUGCCGCCCGGGGCUGGGGAACCCGGGACGAACCCUGCACCUGCUGUGGCCUCCGGUGGAGCUGAGCGCCACGGCCGCGGAGAUCCCCGAGUCCCCGCUCCUGCUGGAGCCACAGGCCGCUGCUGAAAGGACGAGAGAGACAGGAACAGAUUCCUUACCUCUGCCUUCCCGGUCCUGGGCCAGCACCUCUCAUCGUCCGAACCUGGCUGGAACCGGCAGUCAAGGGAGGCAGGGACACGUGACUUGCGGGUCCGGCAUCGCACAGACAGUGGCCGCCGAGCAGAGAGCCGAGACGACUGGACGAAGGACGAGCACAUCGAGACUUGACUUUUGUACCAGCCAAAUCCAUUCUGUGGCUUCCUGCUAGGUCCUGAGAGGGGGGUGCUGAGACUUAGUUUCCCCAUGAAUAAAAUAGGGAUAAUAACAGCCCCUGACAAGG